CCUACGGGUGGCAGCAGUGAGGAAUAUUGGUCAAUGGACGAGAGUCUGAACCAGCCAAGUAGCGUGAGUGAUGACUGCCCUAUGGGUUGUAAACUUCUUUUAUAUGGGAGUAAAAUGUUCCACGUGUGGGAUUUUGUAUGUACCAUAUGAAUAAGGCUCGGCUAACUCUGUGCCAGCAGCCGCGGUAAUACGGAGUAUCCGAGCGUUAUCCGGAUUUAUGGGGUGUAAAGGGAGCGUAGGUGGAUUGUUAAGUCAGAUGUGAAAGUUUGGGGCUCAACCGUAAAAGUGCAGUUGAAACUGGGAGUCUUGAGUACAGGAGAGGUGAGCGGAAUUCGUGGUGUAGCGGUGAAAUGCGUAGAUAUCACGAAGAACUCCGAUUGCGAAGGCAGCUUACUGGACUGCAACUGACACUGAGGCUCGAAAGUGUGGGUAUCAAACAGGAUUAGAUACCCGGGUAGUC
rnacentral:rRNA from 1 species